CCUACGGGGGGCAGCAGUAGGGAAUCUUCCGCAAUGGACGAAAGUCUGACGGAGCAACGCCGCGUGAGUGAAGAAGGUCUUCGGAUCGUAAAGCUCUGUUGUUAGGGAAGCGGUACCUGACGAGAAAGCCACGGCUAACUACGUGCCAGCAGCCGCGGUAAUACGUAGGUGGCAAGCGUUGUCCGGAUUUAUUGGGCGUAAAGCGCGCGCAGGCGGUCCUUUAAGUCUGAUGUGAAAUCUUGCGGCUCAACCGCAAGCGGUCAUUGGAAACUGGGGGACUUGAGUGCAGAAGAGGAAAGCGGAAUUCCACGUGUAGCGGUGAAAUGCGUAGAGAUGUGGAGGAACACCAGUGGCGAAGGCGGCUUUCUGGUCUGUACUGACGCUGAGGCGCGAAAGCGUGGGGAGCAAACAGGAUUAGAUACCCUUGUAGUC
rnacentral:rRNA from 1 species